UACGUAGGGGGCGAGCGUUGUCCGGAUUUAUUGGGCGUAAAGAGCUCGUAGGCGGUUUGGCAAGUCGGGUGUGAAAACUCCGGCUCAACUCGGAGACGCCACUCGAUACUGCUAUGACUCGAGUCCGGUAGGGGAGUGCGGAAUUCCUGGUGUAGCGGUGAAAUGCGCAGAUAUCAGGAGGAACACCGGUGGCGAAGGCGGCACUCUGGGCCGGUACUGACGCUGAGGAGCGAAAGCGUGGGGAGCGAACGGG
rnacentral:rRNA from 1 species